CCUCGCUUCCCUGCCCCAUCGAUCCCUCUCCUCUUCAAAACCCUCGCAUCCUUCUCCUUUCUUGCCCAACGAUCCAUCCAUUGCAGCGCGCUGCUAGCAUGUGGUAUCACUGCUAGCUGCUGCUCUUUCAUGGCUCGCCAUGUCCGUGCUCUUCUUCAUUAAAUUCAUUGGCCAUGGUGGCUUGUGGGGAAUGUUGGCUGGCUCGAGGCAUCCACAUCUUAAUUCCUCUCCGGCGAUCGAGCCGGCUCGGGCGUGUGGAAGCGUCGGACCAGGCUUCAUUCCUCGCAAGCCGAUGCAUCCAUGGCGUCUCGAUCUGUAGUGUGUGUGUAUUUGCUUGGAUUAGGUUAAGGGGUUUGUUGUCUGGCUCGAGGCAUCCGGGACUCCGGUUUCUCCUUUCCUACUGGAGGCGCCUAAUUUCCGGCGAGCUCGGAGCCUCGGACCAGGCUUCAAUCCCUUUAACCAUGCGGCAUAUUGUCCUGUCAAUUCGAUGAUCUAGUCUUCUUUGCGAUCGAUCACCGCGCGUCGUCGUCGACCUCACACUGUCCAACAAUCCACUGCCGACAGACGGUAAGCUUAACAUAUGCUCUCUGCCUCUCUUGGCUUCAUCCCUUUGACUGUUUGACAAUUGA
rnacentral:precursor_RNA from 1 species